rnacentral:rRNA from 1 species
AGACCCGAAACCCGGUGAUCUAGCCAUGGGCAGGUUGAAGGUUGGGUAACACUAACUGGAGGACCGAACCGACUAAUGUUGAAAAAUUAGCGGAUGACCUGUGGCUGGGGGUGAAAGGCCAAUCAAACCGGGAGAUAGCUGGUUCUCCCCGAAAGCUAUUUAGGUAGCGCCUCGUGAAUUCAUCUCCGGGGGUAGAGCACUGUUUCGGCUAGGGGGCCAUCCCGGCUUACCAACCCGAUGCAAACUGCGAAUACCGGAGAAUGUUAUCACGGGAGACACACGGCGGGUGCUAACGUCCGUCGUGAAGAGGGAAACAACCCAGACCGCCAGCUAAGGUCCCAAAGUCAUGGUUAAGUGGGAAACGAUGUGGGAAGGCCCAGACAGCCAGGAUGUUGGCUUAGAAGCAGCCAUCAUUUAAAGAAAGCGUAAUAGCUCACUGGUCGAGUCGGCCUGCGCGGAAGAUGUAACGGGGCUAAACCAUGCACCGAAGCUGCGGCAGCGAACGUAUCACCCAAGAC